UUAAUUGAGUUUAUUAUGCUUUUUUUUUGUUGUUUAUUUUUAUUUAAUAAAAAUAAUUUUAUUGUUUUUUUGUCCUAGUAUAUUUUGUAGAAUAGAUUAUUUUUAUUAUAGUUUAUUUGUAAUGUAAUUGAAUUAUGAUGUAUUGUUUAUAUUUUAAUAAGUAAAUUUUAUUUAUUGUACCUUUUGUAUCAGGGUUUAUCAAAAUUUUUGUUUUUAUUAAUUUUUCUCGAUUUAGGUUGAUUUAUAAACAAAUUAUAGUUAUUGUUUCAAGAAUAUUAUUGAUUUGUUUGUAGUAAUGAAAUGUUAUAUCGUUUCCUAAGUUAUCUAGUUUCUUAAGAAAAAGUUUAAUUUUUUAAGGUUAAUGUUUCUAUUUAAUUUUUGAGUUUGAAAUAUUAAUUUAUUUAUUCUUUAGGGGAUAAGCUCUGAAGAUUAAUCCUAUAAUUCAUUUAUUAUUUCAUAUAAAAUAAUAGGCUUAAGAACAGCUAUUUUUUGAGUACGUUUUAGUUCAUUUUUUCUAUUUUUGAUUUUAUAAUUAUUUUAGGGUUUUUAUUAAGAUGAUUAAUUUAAUUUUGUAAUUUUUGUAAUAAUGAUGGAAUUAGUAUAUUUUUUUGUUUAUUAUUUGAUUAUUGUUAAUUUGUUAUAAGGAACUAGGCAAAAUUAAUUUCCGCCUGUUUAUCAAAAACAUGUCUUCUUGAUAAUACUUUGAAGUCUGGCCUGCUCACUGAUUUAAUUUUUAAAGAGCCGCGGUAUUUUGACCGUGCAAAGGUAGCAUAAUCAUUAGUUUCUUAAUUGGAUGCUGGAAUGAAUGGUUUGACGAGAAAUUAACUGUCUCUUGAUAAUUUUUAGAAUUUAACUUUUAAGUUAAAAGGCUUAAAUAUAUCUUUAGGACGAGAAGACCCUAUAGAGCUUGAUAUUUAUAUUUUUUUGUAGUUUUUUUGAUUAUCUUUUUAUAUUAAAUUAUAAUCUUUGGUUGGGGUGACAUGAAGAAUAAUUAAGCUCUUCAUUAUAAAAUCAUUAAUUUAUGUUUAUUUGAUCCAUAAUUUAUGAUCAUAAGAUUAAGUUACCUUAGGGAUAACAGCGUAAUCAUUUUUGAGAGUUCAUAUCAAUAAAAUGGAUUGCGACCUCGAUGUUGGAUUAAGAAUAAUAUUUGGUGUAGAAGCUUAAUAAUUAGGUCUGUUCGACCUUUAAAUUCUUACAUGAUCUGAGUUCAGACCGGUGUAAGCCAGGUCGGUUUCUAUCCUAAGAUUUGUUAUAAUUGUAUUAGUACGAAAGGACCAUAUAGUUGAAAUAAUUUUUAUUAUCUGAUUAAAUUUAAUUACUU
rnacentral:rRNA from 1 species